AUUGAACGCUGGCGGCAUGCCUAACACAUGCAAGUCGAACGGUAGCAGGCCUUCGGGCGCUGACGAGUGGCGGACGGGUGAGUAAUACAUAGGAAUCUGCCUUUUAGUGGGGAUAACCGAGAAUCCGGGCUAAUACCGCAUACGCACUACGGUGGAAAGCAGGGGAUCGUAAGACCUUGCGCUAAUAGAUGAGCCUAUGUCGGAUUAGCUUGUUGGUAGGGUAACGGCCACCAA
rnacentral:rRNA from 1 species